CGAUGAAGAACGCAGCGAAAUGCGAUAAGUAAUGUGAAUUGCAGAAUUCAGUGAAUCAUCGAAUCUUUGAACGCACCUUGCGCCCCUUGGUCAUUCCUCGGGGCAUGCCUGUUUGAGUAUCAUGAACACCUCAACUCUCGUGGUCUUCCAUGAUGAGCUUGGACUUUGGGGGUUUGCUGGCCCUGUGGCCGGCUCCUCUCAAACGAAUCAGCUUGCCAGUGUUUGGCGGCGUCACGGGUGUGAUAACCAUCUACGCUUGCGAUCGCCUGCCAGAUAACCCUCAGCGAUGAAGGUUCAUUGGGGCUCACAAAAGU
rnacentral:rRNA from 1 species